rnacentral:rRNA from 1 species
ACGAACGCUGGCGGCGUGCUUAACCCAUGCAAGUCGAACGCUGAAGCUUGGUGCUUGCACUGGGUGGAUGAGUGGCGAACGGGUGAGUAAUACGUGAGUAACCUGCCCUUGACUCUGGGAUAAGCCUGGGAAACUGGGUCUAAUACUGGAUACGACAUGUCACCGCAUGGUGGUGUGUGGAAAGGGUUUUACUGGUUUUGGAUGGGCUCACGGCCUAUCAGCUUGUUGGUGGGGUAAUGGCUCACCAAGGCGACGACGGGUAGCCGGCCUGAGAGGGUGACCGGCCACACUGGGACUGAGACACGGCCCAGACUCCUACGGGAGGCAGCAGUGGGGAAUAUUGCACAAUGGGCGGAAGCCUGAUGCAGCGACGCCGCGUGAGGGAUGACGGCCUUCGGGUUGUAAACCUCUUUCAGCACGGAAGAAGCGAAAGUGACGGUACGUGCAGAAGAAGCGCCGGCUAACUACGUG